GUGUGCAGUGCCUUUCACAAGAAGGUGUCAUUCAUGUGGACUAAAAUAUGAAUGGUGCCUUUUUGAGAAGAGUAAUGUACAA
rfam:Camelus ferus unplaced genomic scaffold scaffold2254, whole genome shotgun sequence.